CUGCUGCCUCCCGUAGGAGUCUGGUCCGUGUCUCAGUACCAGUGUGGGGGACCUUCCUCUCAGAACCCCUACGCAUCGUCGUCUUGGUGGUCCGUUACACCGCCAACUAACUAAUGCGACGCAUGCCCAUCCGCCACCGGAAUUAACCUUUGGCACCAACAGGAUGUCCCGUCGAUGCAUUAUGCCGUAUUAGACAGAAUUUCUCCCGAUUAUCCGGCUGUGGCAGGCAGGUUGCAUACGUGUUACUCACCCG
rnacentral:rRNA from 1 species